UUCUUAGGUAGUUGAGUGUGCAGUAAGAUUCUCAGGAAGGACGCUGCUCCAUGAAGUUAUUUGUGGGUGUGAAACUUGGUCUCUGACCUAAAGGAAGGAACAUAAGUUGAGUAUAUCCGAGAACUUUAUACUGAGAAAGUUAUUUUGACAGCAGAAAGGAAGUAACAGAUGCUUAAGAACAUUACACAGAGAGGAGUUUCAUAAUAUUUGCUUCUAUCCAGAUAAUAGUAGACUGAUUCAACCAAGAAAUAUAAGAUUUUGGGCAUGUAGCAUACAUGUGAGAUGAGAAAUUUGUACAAAAUUUCAGCCAUGAAACCUCAAGUGAAGGCAUGUAGAGCAGAAAACCUGCGUGUACUGCGGAUCUUUCGCCAGAGGCAAAGUACAUCUGGGGGCCAUGACACGAGUCACCUCACCCUUAUUUCGUGCUGAGGUGAAGAAUGAGUAGGCGCUGUACCCCCUCACACCCUGAGCACACCCAUGGUAUGUGCUAGGACAGCUUUAAUUUUCUACGGUUUCUUUCAUGAAAAUCAGGAUGCAUCAUCAAAGACGUUUCAUACUGGAUAAUCUGGAUGAUGAUGAUGAUAAUGCCCACUCACUCGUAUACUGCAGAGAUGUAAGGCGACUCUAAGUCUUCUUGUGCAUAAACUGGGAUCCCCAUUGUAGUUUCUGCAACAUAGUCACACUUUCUGUAGUUCAACCACUCAGUCCUUCAGAAGCAUAAAGUAGGACCGUGCGGGAGUACAGGAAAGCUUCUGCACGCAACUCACCACAGAUAAUGUCCAGAGCACAGAGGGUGAUGUAAG